rnacentral:rRNA from 1 species
CGGCACGCCUUAUACAUGCAAGUCGAACGAAGUAGCAAUACUUAGUGGCAGACGGGUGAGUAACAUGUAGGUAUCUUCCCUUUGGUGAGGAAUAACACGAGGAAACUUGUGCUAAUACCUCAUAAGUCUUUACGGAGAAAGCUUUAUGCGCCAAAGGAUGAGCCUGCACUUGAUUAGUUUGUUGGUGGGGUAAUGGCCUACCAAGACUUUGAUCUAUAGCUGAUCUGAGAGGAUGAUCAGCCACAUUGGGACUGAGACACGGCCCAAACUCCUACGGGAGGCAGCAGUAGGGAAUAUUGCACAAUGGAGGAAACUCUGAUGCAGCGAUGCCGCGUGAGUGAAGAAGGCCUUUGGGUUGUAAAGCUCUUUCGUCGGGGAAGAAAAUGACUGUACCCGAAUAAGAAGGUCCGGCUAACU